CCUUCAGAUAGUCGACCUGCAUUUUAUCUUUGCUUCUUCUACCACUAUAAGCCUCUAUUUGUCCAUCUACCUCAGAAUUACUUUGUUUCAUGAAAUGCUUCUGCCAGCAUCCUAAUUUUGAAUUGUCUUGCUGAAUUGCCCGGAAGUUCAACAAUAUUAUGAGGUCAGGAUUGAUAAAGAAGAAAGGUUUUAAAGGAUUCUUUGGGGAAGCAGCAGCUUCGGCAAAGGUGAAAAGAGGGGUAAGAAAACAAAGAAGGGUAAGGAGAUGGGAGUUCCCAGAGACCACCAGAAAACCUUAUGAUUAGAGAUAGAAGCCCGUCGCCAAGUCUCCCACCACGCGGCGCUCCAUUGCCUCAUGACCCCCUCAUGAACGACAUUGCAUAUAGUCUUCCACCUCCAUACAGCUUUGGCCUGCCCUAUAUGGCUCCACGAUAGGGCUUUACUGAGGCGUCUCCCUUGAGCCCCUCGAUGAUGUUCACACUAGGUUAUGCUAUCCCACAGGGCUUCACUCGGUAUACUCCCGGAUCUCAGCGGGCGGCGUCUAGUAGUACUCCGACAGCUACGCUCAGAUGAGAUAGAAAAACUAUUUAAAGACUCACCUACUUGGGGUCAGAUGUCACCAAAUCGCCAGAGACAGAUCUUUUAUGCGUUAAAGGUAUAUGCAUUUAUUAUUUUUAUUAAAGGGAAAAGGGUCAAUUAUAAUUCAACUUUCCUGGGUGCGCAGAUUGAAAAUUGUCUCAUUGCUGUCCCAUUACAUAAAUAACUUAAAAAAAUUCCGAGUUCACAUAAAAUUACUGUGCCAUUUGAUUGAACUAGAGAAUACUCAUAUUUGCAAAUUGUGAGCUGCAUUGGUGAAGGUCUAAUUUAUCAAUUGGCAAGUCCUUCAGAUGCUAAAUAGGAAAGUUAAAUGUUGUAUGCAUCUUUGAGCUCAGCCAAUACUUCUGAAAUAAUAGGCCUCCGCAAUGCAUCUCCUGGAUCAAA